rnacentral:lncRNA from 1 species
GCAGGGCUGAGGGCGCCUAUGUGUGGGGCUCGGGUUGUCCCCGGUCAACCGGGCAGCGCGCGGGGUCGGAGUCGGAGCUCUCUCUCUCUCCCUCCGCUCGUGGGGUGCGGGCGGCUACGGUGGGAUAGAUGGAUCUUUUGGAGGAAGGGGCUGGGCGCACGUGCGGGACAGCUGGCGCGGGUGCUUCGAGUUUUGACCGCAUCGUGCUCGGCGUGGGGUGGGGGGCUCGCCUCGCCGGUACGGAAUCAUCGGCCGGCCGGGCCCCUUGACUUGGAUUGUCCUAGGCCUUGUUUUGUUUAGUUCACUCUGAAAACCAAAAAGUUUUCAAGAUCACAUCGAAUCUUAUGGCAUAUGCAUGAAACAUUAAAUAUAGACGAAAACAAAAACUAAUUACACAGUUUAGCUGUAAAUCACGAGACAAAUCUUUUGAUCCUAGUUAGUCAACAAACAAAAGUGCUACAGUACCGAAAACUUUUCACUUUUCGCAACUAAACAAGACCCUACUGUAUUGGUGGUCGUACUGUACGUACCGCUGCACGAUGGGCCAGAGCGGGUUACUGCUCCUACUACUCGUUUCUUGUGUGCUCUGAUGCUAUCUUAUCCUUGCAUUUUUAUUUUUAUUUUUAUUUUUAUUAUCCUGUCUUCUCGCCUUUGGUUUUUACGAGUCGGACGCACGACGCGUCAGGUCCUCGUGCUACACACUGUAAAGCUAAUCCCACGACACUCGCAAACGCCAACCACAUGAACGCAUGAUUUGUGUGGCUAGACUCGUGGUUACAUAUAGAAAACGUGGAUACAUCUCAGACCGGGCACAUUUUACCCGAAAACCGAAAACAGGAUCGAACCAAACCGAAACCGAACCGAACAGUCGGUUUUUCGGUUCAGCAUCUACGAACUUCGGUGUUCGGGUCGGUGCUCGGUUGUGCCUUCAAACCGAGCCGAAAACCGUUUAAUCCGAGAAACUCUUCCAUCCUGUACUUGUGCUGGGCGAGUCGGCAGCGCGACAUGGCCGUGCGUGGCGGCGCCGGCGUGGUGGACGAACGCCGAGCGACAGCCGGCACAGAUACGCGCGACGCAUCCAGCUGGGUGUUGGACCUAUAGGUCGAGCGUGUGAUGUGUGCAAACCGUGUGGAUUUCUUCUUCUCUUUUGUGGCAUUUUUGGAUUCCUCAUUUCAAUUUUUUUUCUUCUCUGUGCUCUUCAAUUAGUUCGGUGAAAUCGAGAAACCGAACCGACGAAACGAAACCGAAUUCGCCGGUUGUUGGUUGCAGAGAACAUCGAUCAGUUGUUGAUUCCUAGAAACCGAACUGAUUUGUCGGUUAAACCCGAAUGCCCACUCUGAGAUACAUCUUCUGUAAUAAACAACAAAAACAAUACGACAUCAUAGUUACUCUACUCCAUGAGCAAAAGAAUAUAAUUAUAACAUACGUGCACUCAAACUGACUCAAGUUUAAGUAAAUUUAUAGUAAAUAAUAUUAAUAUUUAUAUCUCUAGAUAAAUUUAUUAUAAAACUAUAUUCUAUAACUAACCAGAGUCAAUGCAAUCUCUCAAAAUACAAAGCAUCGAAGCCACUCCAAUCUCUCCAAGAAUGCAAUCUCUAGUAAGCAAACAUGAGUGAAUUUUUUUUCCUUUUUUCUUAGAAUAUUUUUCUUUGUUCCCAUAGCACCUUAUGUGCUAUUAUCUCCCUGUAGAUGUGGUGCAAAAUAGCAUAAUAUCCUAGACGCUUACCAUUCAUUGCGGAAAAUAUAGAAAAUGCUAUUUUGCUAUAUACUUUUCAAAAAAGAUCCUGUUUUGCAUGGCUCCACCUCGCUAGUGAAGCCAUUUUUUUUUGCCUAAGCUCCAUGACUAGCUUCAUCCAUAUAAAUGAAGCCAUUUUGGUAAAUUGUUUGGCAAAACAGCUCCACGUG